GAUGAACGCUAGCGGCAGGCCUAAUACAUGCAAGUCGAGGGGCAGCAGGAAUAGCAAUAUUUGCUGGCGACCGGCGCACGGGUGCGUAACACGUAUACAAUCUGCCUUCUACAGGGGGAUAGCCUUUCGAAAGAGAGAUUAAUACCCCAUAACACAAGAGGUAGCUUUAUUUUUUGUUGAAAGAUCCGUCGGUAGAAGAUGAGUAUGCGGGUGAUUAGCUAGUUGGUGAGGUAACGGCUCACCAAGGCAACGAUCACUAGGGGAUCUGAGAGGACUACCCCCCACACUGGUACUGAGACACGGACCAGACUCCUACGGGAGGCAGCAGUAGGGAAUCUUCCGCAAUGGACGAAAGUCUGACGGAGCAACGCCGCGUGAGCGAUGAAGGCCUUCGGGUCGUAAAGCUCUGUUGUCAGGGAAGAACAAGUAUCGGAGUAACUGCCGAUACCUUGACGGUACCUGACCAGAAAGCCACGGCUAACUACGUGCCAGCCGCCGCGGUAAUAC
rnacentral:rRNA from 1 species